UCCUCUAGAGCCCAGGCUGAAACAACACAAAGGAAAUGUACCCUGAGGAGAGGGGUGUUAGCCAAGGAUGAGAGUCAAAAACACACAUUUAUACUGAACAUGUAGUUCGGCAGUUGUGUUUUCUUUCAACAGCUGGGGGGAAGGAUCAGGGCCACAGAGAGGAGUUUGAUCCUUUCCACUCUGCUCUGGUCCCAGUGAAAACUACCCUCCUUGCUGCAAUUUGCCUCAGGGGGGAAGCUGACAUUGUUCUCUUCUUUUAGGUCGCAGGCUGCCAGGAAGCAUGGGGCAAACACUCUUGUCUAACUCCCAGCACCAAGGAUCAAGUCUUUUCUUUUCUGUAUCUGAGGAAUAAGGAAUCAAAGUCAUGCUGUGCCUGCAAGAUUGCUCAGCAAUGGAUAUAAACCCCUGCUGAGUGAGCAGCAAGAUUUCCUCAAGAGAACAUUUUUAAAAUUAGCAUUUGGAUGCUCCUAUACCCUGCCACAAAUGAAAUAUUGAUGUCAUUUAUAAAGAAUGCCACAAGUCUCACUGCAGAACUAUUUGCACAGGAACCAUUGCAGUUUAUAAGGGGAAAUCUCUACUUUUAUCAUUACAACCAGUUUAGGAACACUACAAACCAGAAUAAAUUGUUCCAAUCUGACUGUGUUUGUGUCCUGGCCCUCCCCGUCUGAUGGAGAACUUGAACUCACAACCCGAUUUCUGCCAAAGGCUUUAAUGUGUGGAUAAAACAAGCUACAAUUUACAAGGCAUGCCUGGUUCAUCAGUCAGGCAGUCAGAAACCAAGUUGCAUAAAUCAGCAGGCUUUUUCAUAUGGAGUUCAUCCCCAAACUGGGAUGUCUGGCAGCAGCUACUCUUACAUGUGGUAUACUACUGGGGCUUUUCAACUUUUGAACAAUGGAUGAAAGGGAGAUGCCUUCAUCUUUUCAGGCUUGCACAAUGUUAGGAUGGAGCAGGAAGUACUCACAGGGUCAUGGAGGAUGGCGAGGGGAUGGAGGUCAGUGCACAGGAACCAGAGCAGUAGGACCCAUCACCAGAGGGGCCCCUGUCUCUACCAACAUGGUGGGCUCUGAGGCAUAGGGAGCAGCAAGAGUUCUAGGAGGCUGAGGCAGACAAAGGCCCACAGCCCAUCUCCCUAGCUGGCCAGGUGGGGCUCGCUAGCUCUGGGAGGAGGGGUGUGAUUCCUCAGCUGGAAUAGGCUUGAAACAGGUGAGGGUCACAUGCCUCAUCAAGCCCAGGUGCUGCCAUCAGCAGGCAAAGUCCAAAAGGAAAGUAGAGCUCAACUGCCCAUAUUGAUGGACCUUGACUUGAUAAGAAUGUGCUAGAACCUCUACAGGACUGCUUUUGGUUUGAUUCUGGACUGUGUUCUGACUGCUGGACUUCAGACUUGAUUACAGUACUUGAAUUGACCCUGGACUUUGUCUCCUGGCCUUUGGACUUUGCUUGUGUGGCUUGACCCCCAGAUGUUGGACUUGACAUACUGACUUGCUGCUAGGUAGGUCAGGGGUUCUGAACAAUUGUUCAACCAGGCUUUUUCAGGGGUGCAUUAUCAUUUAAAUAACAUUGUACACCUACAUGUGUCUACCUGUGACAGUUGGCUCAGACUUUAGGCUUUUGGGCCUAUUGCCAGAGAAACAUGGCCAAGUCCAGCCUUGUACCAUAGCUGUGUUUUACCUAUAUACCUAGGCAAACAGAUGGAUUUUGUAUCCCUAGAACUAUCAAAGAAUGCAG